UGUUUUAAUAGUUUAGUCAAAAACCUCGGUCUUGUAAACCGGAAACGAAUUUUGUAAUUCUUAAAGCAUC
rnacentral:tRNA from 1 species